CUGAAAAAUGUUAAGUUUAUUGGCGACAGUGCUCGUAAGCUUGUCAGCGAGACUAAUUCCAAAUUCAUGGUGGGAAAUGAAAAGCACUAAAUAAUAUCUCUCCAAUCCAGCCCAACAAGACUGAAAUGAAAUAUCAUACCUUGAAAGAUUGAGCUGCCUGCCAUGAUGCCAGCAUGGUCUAUAAACUGGAGGUCUACGGACUGUCGUCUGCUAGACCCGAUUUUGACGAUUCGUCUGCUAAUUUUUGAAGCAAAAAUCCGGGCAUCCACUAGAGGCGCUGACUGUCCGCAUCAGUCAUCAAAUUACAUUGGUAAGCCCGCGGAAAAUAAGAAAUUUUGCUUAAACAUUUUGGUUUCAACUUAAUUUUUGUAUUACAUCUGGAUAUCUUACACUGUGUAAAUAGAUACACUGAUAUUGCACAUUAAUAAACAUUUUACACAACCAA